AGCGAACGCUGGCGGCAGGCCUAACACAUGCAAGUCGAACGAACCUUUCGGGGUUAGUGGCGGACGGGUGAGUAACACGUGGGAACGUGCCUUUAGGUUCGGAAUAACUCAGGGAAACUUGUGCUAAUACCGAAUGUGCCCUUCGGGGGAAAGAUUUAUCGCCUUUAGAGCGGCCCGCGUCUGAUUAUCUAGUUGGUUGAGGUAAUGGCUCACCAAGGCGACGAUUAGUAGCUGGGCUGAGAGGAUGCGCAGGCACAUUGGGACUGAGACACGGCCCCAACUCCUUAGGGAAGUGGUCAUGGGGAAUCUUACGAAAUGGGCGAAAGCCUGACGCAGCCAUGCCGCGUGAAUGAUGAAGGUCUUAGGAUUGUAAAAUUCUUUCACCGGGGACGAUAAUGACGGUACCCGGAGAAGAAGCCCCGGCUAACUUCGUG
rnacentral:rRNA from 1 species